GAUGAACGCUGGCGGCGUGCCUAAUACAUGCAAGUCGAGCGAACAGACGAUGAGCUUGCUCCUCUGACGUUAGCGGCGCACGGGUGAGUAACACGUGGAUAACCUACCUAUAAUACUGGGAUAACUUCGGGAAACCGGAGCUAAUACCGGAUAAUAUAUUGAACCGUAUGGUUCAAUAGUGAAAGACGGUUUUGCUGUCACUUAUAGAUGGAUCCGCGCCGCAUUAGCUAGUUGGUAGGUUAACGGCUUAUCAAGGGGACGAUGCCUAGCCGACCUGAGAGGGGGAUCGGCGACUGUGGAGGUGACACGCGACACAGGGUCCGACGGGCGGCAGAGGUAGGGACGCGACCGAGAAGGGCGGAAGCCUGACGGAGCGACGGCGCGUGAGUGCAGAAGGUCUGCGGGUCGUAUGACUGUGUUAUUGGGGAAGAGCAAAUGUGUAAGUAACGAUGCACGUGUGAAGGGAACCUGAUCAGAAGGCCAGGGCAAAUUACGU
rnacentral:rRNA from 1 species